GUCCACACUGUAAACGAUGAUUACUAGGUGUUGGAGGAUUGACCCCUUCAGUGCCGCAGUUAACACAAUAAGUAAUCCACCUGGGGAGUACGACCGCAAGGUUGAAACUCAAAGGAAUUGACGGGGGCCCGCACAAGCAGUGGAGUAUGUGGUUUAAUUCGACGCAACGCGAAGAACCUUACCAAGUCUUGACAUCCUGCGACGGUGCUGGAAACAGUACUUUCCUUCGGGACGCAGAGACAGGUGGUGCAUGGUUGUCGU
rnacentral:rRNA from 1 species